GGGAUUAUAGCUGAGUUGGUUCUAGCGCUUGCCUGAAGAGCAAGAGACGUGGGUUCAAUUCCCGCUCUUCCCA
rnacentral:tRNA from 4 species